CCCGGGAUGCCCCAGCACAAGCAGAGAGGGUGGAGCAGGGCAGGAGUCUCUUUUUAUGUGGGAACAAAGAAAAGAUCCUCAUGGUAGAACCUAUUAUGUGGAUCAUAAUACUCGAACCACCACAUGGGAGAGACCACAGCCUUUACCUCCAGGUUGGGAAAGAAGAGUUGAUGAUCGUAGAAGAGUUUAUUAUGUGGAUCAUAACACCAGAACAACAACGUGGCAGCGGCCUACCAUGGAAUCUGUCCGAAAUUUUGAACAGUGGCAAUCUCAGCGGAACCAAUUGCAGGGAGCUAUGCAACAGUUUAACCAACGAUACCUCUAUUCGGCUUCAAUGUUAGCUGCAGAAAAUGACCCUUAUGGACCUUUGCCACCAGGCUGGGAAAAAAGAGUGGAUUCAACAGACAGGGUUUACUUUGUGAAUCAUAACACAAAAACAACCCAGUGGGAAGAUCCAAGAACUCAAGGCUUACAGAAUGAAGAACCCCUGCCAGAAGGCUGGGAAAUUAGAUAUACUCG
rnacentral:sRNA from 1 species